GAAGAGAGCUAAAAUGGCGGAGGUUGUGAGUCCCUGCUUUGACUCUGUUUGCAAACUCUUGUUUCAUCGUUUAAGCGAUUAAAUCUCUCGAGUAGACGCUGUCUCUUUAGAUGCGAGGGCAAAAUAGCACUUUAUGGACUUACACAGAGGACAUCAUGUUUAAUACGGUUCCGGAAAAAUCCAGUCAGAAGUUGUUCACGGAGUUUUCACAAUAACUGCUUCUCAUGAACCGAACCUGGACGUCUCCUUCUGAAAGUUGGAUUAACGUUACUGUGCACUUCUGGAUCACAGGCUGUAAGUAUUCACGUUUAUUAUUUGCCUUUUACUGUACAUUACGUAACCGGUAACCGGAGAUUAACAUAAUGUGCGUGUAGAGCUAAGCUUGCAAGCGAACUGUUUUGUGUUGUAAUACUGUAUUUCAUAAACAACGUACCAUAUUUACACACGUGUAUGUUGAAUUAUGCAGACUAUCGUUUUUUUAUCGAUGUUGGUUAAGACAUGUUUACAAACUUGCUAAGUUACCAGCUAAACUGUUACCGGUAAAAUUUGUUCUCAUGAUCAAACUCAAGAAACUCUAAGUACAGAUGAUUUGUUUAAAGUUAUAUGUAUUUUACUGUUGUUUUUACUUGAAGCUUUCUUAGAUUUUGAAACGAAGUAAACACGUAAUGUGUGUUGCUAAUGUUGGGCCAUGUAACAUGUAAUACAUUUACGUUUUAAUGAAUAGUCUAACGAGUUAUAGUCGUUGUACUCUAUUGUUAUAAUAUGUCUUUUUGACUGAAUACAUGUUUGUUUUAUUUGUCUAUAUCUUAGAUUCGCAGCUGGACACAUCCUUCUACACUGUAUGCAAACAUGCAACAUCAUAACACACAGUACAAGGAGUCAGACUGGCAUAUGAGGAGCAAAGGAACCCAGACAGUAGCAUCGUUUCACAAUGUUUCCAUCACCAUCAUCAGUGGAUGCCUUUGCCGUCCGUAGCCUGAGAUUUCAGAUUUGCAGCAAAAAAAAUUGAUUUUCUCAUUUAUUGGAAUGCUAUGCAGGUUGUACCUUGCAGCCAUCCAUUACAAUGUCACCAAGCCGUAACAAAAGCAGGAGAGGGAAAGUACAAGGCUAUGUUCCCAAAACACACAAAUGACAUACCUUAUGUGGAUGAUGUGAUCAGGCUUGUGUUUGCUGAGGUAUUUGAAGAUAAGCUGAAGGAAACCCCGAUUCCAAUGGACCUGGCAUCACAGUUUGAGAGACCUUCAAAGGAGGACGUGAUUGCAUGCCAUCUUCAGUGCAGGGGUCGUCGGAAGCCAACAUUCCGAUCAGGAAGCUCCAAGCGUAUCUGGAGAACAACACACGACAGGAUGAUAACCCUAAAGUGUCAUCUUAGAUAGCAUCAGCUGACAAAGCUUUGAUAUGCCAUUUAUCUGAAUAGAUAGCUGUAAGAAGUGAAUUGAACAAUUUUUGAAAGAAGAGCACAAUAUGGUUACUAAAGUAUGUUUAUUUGUAUAUUGUUUAACAUUUAAAUAUAUAUUUGUAAUAAAUAAACUUUUGACUGACUUUUAUAUUUUCUUUAAAGUUACAUCUUUUGUUCUUUUGGGUAC